rnacentral:tRNA from 1 species
GGGUGUAGCUCAGUGGCAGAGUGCUUGCUUAGCAUAUCAAAUCCCUGGGUUCUAUCCCCAGCACUGCA